rnacentral:rRNA from 1 species
UACGUAGGUGGCAAGCGUUGUCCGGAUUUACUGGGCGUAAAGCGCGCGCAGGCGGAUUGGUCAGUCUGGGGUGAAAUCUCACGGCUCAACCGUGAGCGGUCCCUGGAUACUGCCAGUCUUGAGGUGUCUAGAGGAGAGCGGAAUUCCCGGUGUAGUGGUGGAAUGCGUAGAUAUCGGGAAGAACACCAGUGGCGAAAGCGGCUCUCUGGGGAUUACCUGACACUGAGGCGCGAAAGCGUGGGGAGCGAACCGG